rnacentral:snRNA from 1 species
GCGCUCACUUCGGCAGCACAUAUGCUAACGCUGGAACGAUACAGAGAAGAUUAGCAUGGCCCCUGCGCAAGCAUGACACACAAAUUCAUGAAGUGUUCCCUGUUUUU